UACGUAGGGUGCAAGCGUUGUCCGGAAUUAUUGGGCGUAAAGCGCGUGUAGGCGGUUGCCAAAGUCGGGUGUGAAAGCCUUGAGCUCAACUCAAGAAAUGCACUCGAUACUUGGUGACUAGAGGACCGGAGAGGAUAGUGGAAUUCCCAGUGUAGUGGUGAAAUACGUAGAUAUCUGGAGGAAUACCGGUGGCGAAGGCGGCAUCCUGGACCGAGAUUGACGCUGAUGAGCGAAAGCUAGGGGAGCAAACGGG
rnacentral:rRNA from 1 species